rnacentral:lncRNA from 1 species
AGGCCACGCCCACACGCGCACAGGUGAUCCGCCCAGGUGUGAAAGUUACCCGCACUUUCAACAAGAACAAACACACCUGAGAGACACGAGAGGACACGGAUCUGCUCCACAACCAACGCAGUGUGUUUCUGAAGAGGACAGAGUAACAGCAGAACGAGAAACUCCACGUGAGCCGACAGCUGUAACAGGAGACUGUGCCGCUCCGAUCUGAUCGUUCCCUAAUUCAGAAACUGUGAGUGAACCUUUCAUCUAAAUAAUGUCUUUAUGGUUUUGGUGAAUCUUAAAUCUUUCAGUGAGAAUUUGGGUGAAAUGUGCUUAAUUGUCCAGAAAUUUGAUGUUUUCAUUGUUGAAUUAUGCCUCAGACGGUUUAUUGUAUUCUCUGUAUUUUAGCGGCUGUUAGUGAAGCGAGAGCCGCUGAAGUGCAUUGUGGGAGUGUAAAGACCGCGUGACAAACUGACCAACGGGAUGCCAGGAAUGAGUGCGCAGGCAACCAACACGCAUUCCAAUCUAAAUGGCGAGAAGCAGCACAGCAGUCCUCAGUCCGAGGACGAGCCCACGACCCCGAAAGUCCGUCCCAACCCCAAGUACCAGCUCUACCUGGGCUCCAACGGCACCAGCGGCUCCAACGGGACCCUGCUGAGGGUCAGUCCUGUGAUCCGGGGGUCCAUGGAGUCGCUGUCGUCCCGGGACGGGGACAGCAUGUCCGACAGAACAGGUGGCUUUGAAAGUCCUCCCCGAGUUUUCAACAGUCCGUAUUCGACGCUCUCGCUGGACUACAAUCCCUUCAACAGAAUGUCUGACUUCAAGACACAGGAAGUGAUGUCACCCACCGUCUCUGAGAUGAACCUGUUCGGUCUGAACAGAAGCGUGAGUCCCGUUAACAGUCCGGCUCUGAACCAGCGCACACGAGUCCCUGGAUACGACAGUCUGACCCGCAGACGAGACGUGAGUCUAGGCUGCCUCAUUAACGCACAGCUAAAAUUCGAAUGCAACGUUUUUGCAUUCGAAUGUGGAUUUUUAUUUUAAAUUCGACGAAUAUUCCAAAUAUGAUUUUUUUUGACAGCCCUAAUUAAUAACAUCACAAAUGUUGUUAGUUGAAAUAAAAUAAGUUAACUGAAAUACAAAAACUUAAACGUGUUUUAUUUCACUUCAACUAGAGCUAAAACUGAAAUAAAAAUAGACAUACUUUAAGAAAACAAUAGACGUACUUUAAAAAAAACGAACAAAAAUUACAAACACGCAACAAAAUAAAUAAAACUAACUAAAGAAAAAAUGAAAACAGAAAAUAUAAAAAUAAAAGCUAUGAAAAUAAGAAAAUUCUAAUAUUAAUAAAAACUAUAAUAAUAUCUCAAUGAAACUAGAAUAACAGGAACUAAUGGC